GACGAACGCUGGCGGCGUGCUUAACACAUGCAAGUCGAACGGAAAGGCCCUGCUUUUGUGGGGUGCUCGAGUGGCGAACGGGUGAGUAACACGUGAGUAACCUGCCCUUGACUUUGGGAUAACUUCAGGAAACUGGGGCUAAUACCGGAUAGGAGCUCCUGCUGCAUGGCGGGGGUUGGAAAGUUUCGGCGGUUGGGGAUGGACUCGCGGCUUAUCAGCUUGUUGGUGGGGUAGUGGCUUACCAAGGCUUUGACGGGUAGCCGGCCUGAGAGGGUGACCGGCCACAUUGGGACUGAGAUACGGCCCAGACUCCUACGGGAGGCAGCAGUGGGGAAUAUUGCACAAUGGGCGGAAGCCUGAUGCAGCAACGCCGCGUGCGGGAUGACGGCCUUCGGGUUGUAAACCGCUUUCGCCUGUGACGAAGCGUGAGUGACGGUAAUGGGUAAAGAAGCACCGGCUAACUACGUGCCAGCAGCCGCGGUGAUACGUAGGGUGCGAGCGUUGUCCGGAUUUAUUGGGCGUAAAGGGCUCGUAGGUGGUUGAUCGCGUCGGAAGUGUAAUCUUGGGGCUUAACCCUGAGCGUGCUUUCGAUACGGGUUGACUUGAGGAAGGUAGGGGAGAAUGGAAUUCCUGGUGGAGCGGUGGAAUGCGCAGAUAUCAGGAGGAACACCAGUGGCGAAGGCGGUUCUCUGGGCCUUUCCUGACGCUGAGGAGCGAAAGCGUGGGGAGCGAACAGGCUUAGAUACCCUGGUAGUCCACGCUGUAAACGGUGGGUACUAGGUGUGGGGUCCAUUCCACGGGUUCCGUGCCGUAGCUAACGCUUUAAGUACCCCGCCUGGGGAGUACGGCCGCAAGGCUAAAACUCAAAGGAAUUGACGGGGCCCCGCACAAGCGGCGGAGCAUGCGGAUUAAUUCGAUGCAACGCGUAGAACCUUACCUGGGUUUGACAUGGAUCGGGAGUGCUCAGAGAUGGGUGUGCCUCUUUUGGGGUCGGUUCACAGGUGGUGCAUGGCUGUCGUCAGCUCGUGUCGUGAGACGUUGGGUUAAGUCCCGCAACGGGCGCAACCCUUGUUCACUGUUGCCAGCACGUUAUGGUGGGGACUCAGUGGAGACCGCCGGGGUCAACUCGGAGGAAGGUGGGGAUGACGUCAAGUCAUCAUGCCCCUUAUGUCCAGGGCUUCACGCAUGCUACAAUGGCUGGUACAGAGAGUGGCGAGCCUGUGAGGGUGAGCGAAUCUCGGAAAGCCGGUCUCAGUUCGGAUUGGGGUCUGCAACUCGACCUCAUGAAGUCGGAGUCGCUAGUAAUCGCAGAUCAGCAACGCUGCGGUGAAUACGUUCCCGGGGCU
rnacentral:rRNA from 1 species